AAGUAAGAAGCAAAAAAUUUGCAUUUAGUUUCGACCUAAAAAUUUGAUGACAUUUCAUCCUUAGUUA
rnacentral:tRNA from 1 species